GAUGAACGCUAGCGGGAGGCCUAACACAUGCAAGCCGAGCGGUAUGGAUAGCUUGCUAUCCAGAGAGCGGCGUACGGGUGCGUAACACGUGUGCAACCUACCUUUAUCUGGGGGAUAGCCUUUCGAAAGGAAGAUUAAUACCCCAUAAUAUAUUGAAUGGCAUCAUUUAAUAUUGAAAACUCCAGUGGAUAGAGAUGGGCACGCGCAAGAUUAGAUAGUUGGUGAGGUAACGGCUCACCAAGUCUGUGAUCUUUAGGGGUCCUGAGAGGGAGAUCCCCCACACUGGUACUGAGACACGGACCAGACUCCUACGGGAGGCAGCAGUGAGGAAUAUUGGACAAUGGGUGAAAGCCUGAUCCAGCCAUCCCGCGUGAAGGAUGACGGUCCUAUGGAUUGUAAACUUCUUUUGUACAGGGAUAAACCUAUUCUCGUGAGGGUAGCUGAAGGUACUGUACGAAUAAGCACCGGCUAACUCCGUG
rnacentral:rRNA from 1 species